GACGAACGCUGGCGGCGUGCUUAACACAUGCAAGUCGAACGGAAAGGCCCUGCUUUUGUGGGGUGCUCGAGUGGCGAACGGGUGAGUAACACGUGAGUAACCUGCCCUUGACUUUGGGAUAACUUCAGGAAACUGGGGCUAAUACCGGAUAGGAGCUCCUGCUGCACGGAGGGGGUGGGAAAGUUUCGGCGGUCGGGGAUGGACUCGCGGCUUAUCAGCUUGUUGGUGGGGGAGUGGCUUACCAAGGCUUUGACGGGUAGCCGGCCUGAGAGGGUGACCGGCCACAAUGGGACUGAGAGACGGACCAGACUCGUACGGGAGGCAGCAGUGGGGAGUAUUGCACAGUGGGCGGAAGCCUGAGGCAGCAACGCCGCGUGCGGAAUGUCGGCCUUCGGGUUGUGAACCGCUUUCGCCUGUGACGAAGCGUGAGUGACGGUAAUGGGUGAAGAAGCACCGGCUAACUACGUG
rnacentral:rRNA from 1 species